rnacentral:rRNA from 1 species
GCUAUUUCUAGAGAUAGAAAGUUACUUCGGUACAUCGGUGACAGGUGGUGCAUGGUUGUCGUCAGCUCGUGUCGUGAGAUGUUGGGUUAAGUCCCGCAACGAGCGCAACCCCUAUUGUUAGUUGCCAUCAUUCAGUUGGGCACUCUAGCGAGACUGCCGGUAAUAAACCGGAGGAAGGUGGGAUGACGUCAAAUCAUCAUGCCCCUUAUGACCUGGGCUACACACGUGCUACAAUGGUUGGUACAACGAGUUGCGAGUCGGUGACAGCGAGCUAAUCUCUUAAAAGCCAAUCUCAGUUCGGAUUGUAGGCUGCAACUCGCCUACAUGAAGUCGGAAUCGCUAGUAAUCGCGGAUCAGCACGCCGCGGUGAAUACGUUCUCGGGUUU